rnacentral:rRNA from 1 species
ACGAACGCUGGCGGCAGGCUUAACACAUGCAAGUCGAACGGGCCCUUCGGGGUCAGUGGCAGACGGGUGAGUAACGCGUGGGAACGUGCCCUUCAGUUCGGAAUAACCCAGGGAAACUUGGGCUAAUACCGGAUACGUCCGAGAGGAGAAAGAUUUAUCGCUGAAGGAUCGGCCCGCGUCUGAUUAGCUAGUUGGUGAGGUAAUGGCUCACCAAGGCGACGAUCAGUAGCUGGUCUGAGAGGAUGAUCAGCCACAUUGGGACUGAGACACGGCCCAAACUCCUACGGGAGGCAGCAGUGGGGAAUAUUGGACAAUGGGCGCAAGCCUGAUCCAGCCAUGCCGCGUGAGUGAUGACGGCCUUAGGGUUGUAAAGCUCUUUCGGCGGGGACGAUAAUGACGGUACCCGCAGAAGAAGCCCCGGCUAACUUCGU